rnacentral:lncRNA from 1 species
UUCAACGAUCACCACCCACCUGCGACCAUCCUUCAUCAACAACCGCCAACAUCAACCCACCUGCCACCUUCCUUUAACAACAACGACCGCCAUCAAUAGCCGCCAUCAACCCCACCUGCCACCAUCCUUCAUCAACCUUCAACCGUCAAUUUGAGCUAUCCUCUUUUGUACAUGAAAACCCCAAAUUUUUAUUUCGAACAAACCCUAACCUUCCACCAAAUCUGCAACCACCAUUGCAGAUCUGGUUCCCGAAGAGAGAGAUGGGAGAUGGUGGAAAGAAAGAGGAAGAGUGAUGUUUAAUUCUGAUUAUUUCCGAUCUGGAUCCGGAUCCGACUGUGGGGAUGAGAGUUUACGGCGGUGGUGGUGGUGUUGGAAGUAGGUUACGGCGGUGAUGGUGGUGGUGGAAGGAGGAGGCGAUGUUGAUGGUAGAGAGAUGGAGCAGAGAGUUUGGAACAUGGAAAUGGGAAGAAUAUGUAAAAAUGUUGUCAGAAUUCUCAUAA